AGCACGAGAUUGAACCUCACUCAACUUUCUAGUUUCCCCCGUUAGUUACCACUAUCAACCCUUUACUGUGGGAAUUGUGAUCGAAUCAACGCAAUUAUUAGCUACUUUCAAUGCAACAUACCGAAACAAAACCAACUAUUCGAGAGACUUUGUUGUAGACAGAACUCAACAGGGUAUGAUUCUAUUGCAUUGACAGGCACAUACUCUAGUCUAAACAGACCGGUGCGCCAUAACCAAUCAGAGCUGCAGUAGGCCUAUAUGCAAAUAAACCACUACCAUAUAUGUGCCAUUCACGUUGAACGUGACUGUCUUUACAGAAUCAGCGGUCGUGAGAAGAUGAGCUGUUUUGAGAUCAUAUUUUUUGCUCGUUGGUGAGUUAUUAGCCCAGUUAUAGAUCAGUUGUAAUCCUCAAUGGAGGAGUGUUUGUUUCCUACAAGACACAACACGUGUGCGUUUCGAGACGUCUUUGAAAAGUGAUUCAGAAGCACUCUGAAACCCCCCAACUCAGAGCACCCUUUCCCAGCCACGAGCAGAGCAGCAGCCCCUUACCUUUUUGGGGUCCUGGAGGAGACGAGGUCCUGUGGCCUGGAGUCCUGGAGGAGACGACUGUGUGGAGCUAAAGAUCAGAGCUGCUACUCCCUUGAGACAGUGAGAAAGUGAACCAGGUAGGAAAGAGAGUGAGAACGACACACACAGAGGGGAGGAGUGAGGCAGAUGAGGUAACAAUGUUAUCUGAAGUGGCUGAAUAGUGAACACAAGCCCGAUGGAAAAUAACUCCACCCGUUGGUCAAUCACUAGUUCCAGUGUAAUUACAUCAUCACUGUGUGACGACGAAUCCCAGUAUAAAAAGAAGCAGGAAAUUCCACUCACACCAGGGGCAUUUCACAAAUGACAUUGAGUCCUGGUCAAAAGUAGUGCACUCCUGUAUCUAGGGAACAUGGUGUCAUUUGGGACACAGGCCUGAAGACACUGAUUCCCAUCAAUAGACCAGAGACCUCAGACUCACUAUAGGGUUUUAAAGUGAAGAGGUGGAGGGGUGUGAAUAUGCUGUGUUCGUGUGUGUGUGUUUUGAGGGGAAGUUGUGGCUGUGGUGAGUUAAGGUGUUUAUAGUUCUCGAUAAACAACGUUGUGGUUGGAAAAUACGUUUGUUCGUGAGAAGACAGAAGACCUAGUAGCCAGCAGAGAACAUUAACCAUGCAUGAGUAGCCUAUUAUCACUAUGACUCAUCCUCAGUUAGACUAUUAGAACGUAAUGCAGACCAGACAGUCAUUUCUUUACUAACAUUGGUCCAUUGGUGUUAAAGGUCAUUAGAACACCUAACAUAGGCCUAUUUUCAGGUGAAUACAUUUUAGAAAAGUGUGUCUGUGUGUGUGUUCACCCAUCCACCAUUUGUUGUUACCUGAGGAUGUAUACUGAACAAAAAUAUAAACGUAACAUGCAACCAUUUCAACAGUUUUACUGAGUUACAGGAAAUCAGUCAAUUGAAAUAAAUGUAUUAGGCUCUAAUCUAUGGACUUCAUAUGACUGGGCAGGGGCGCAGCCAUAGACGGGCCUGGAAGAGCAUAGGCCCACCCACUUGGGAGCCAGGCCCAGCCAAUCAGAAUGAUUUGUUCCCCCACAAAAGGGCUUUAUUACAGACAGAAAUAGUCCUCAAUUUCAUCAGCUGUCUGGUCUCAGACGAUCCUGCAGGUGAAGAACCCAGAUGUGGAGGUCCUGGUCUGGUGUGGUUAUUCAACAUUCUGCCAUAUUGUCUAAAACAAUGUUGGAGGUGGCUUAUGGUGGAGAAAUUAACGUUAAAAUUAACGUUAUUUCACUAGAAACCAAUGUGAAAAUAAGGUGAUGGUUGUGUACCGCAGGAGGUGGAGUUGAUCAGGAGCAGCUCUGUUGAAGAGAACGCUGAGUCAGGCUGUCAAUCAAAUCAAGUGAGCGUCACAAUUAAACAAUAAGGGGGUUUAUUUAUCAAAACUUGGAUGAUACAAAAUACGACAAGCAAAUAAACCAAAGUGCUUUAAAAUAUACCAUGGGCUAAAUGACUUGAAAAACUAACUGUCCUAUAAAGUAUUAACGUUAAAAAGAACUACGCUAUAACGUGCAGGAACAGAACGUCCAAAAAUCAACUCGCUGAUGGGACGUUCCAUUAUAAGGGGAGUGGCCAGCUCCAAUGCAAGUCUGCAAACCAUCAAGUUUUACAUUUCUACAAUAAUGAUAACGUUAAAUAUAAGCAUUAUUUUAUCAACAGUAUACAAUAUCAAUGUAUAACUGUACUUCGCUCUUUUAAACUCGUCAAAGGGAAAAAGAGUUCCACUGGGGUGAACAGAGGGUGGGCAUUUCCCAACGCCGUUCCGGAACAGUAUUUUAACCCUAGGCUUCAGGUCGGACCUCCUUUAUCAGCACACCGUGGCAUCCAUCACUUCUGAGGAAUAGACGUAAACAAGACAUUACUUUGAACUGUGACUAUUUACUUGAGAAUGAUAAUGGUUAAAUUAUAACAAUGGCUGUUACCACGUAAACUAUGAAGCGUGCACGCAACAUAAUGAUAGCUAAUGUCAAACUGUAUUUCUGCAAUACAGUUACGUAUGGGAUAUAAGAAACAAAAGCUCUGUGUCGCGUUGUCAUUUAUAUAAAAUUAACAUGAUAUUUGUUAUGGCCUGUGUACACUUGCACGCGGUAAACUACCGCGUGGCUCGCUUGUGGGCAUGCUGGCAGCAGCAGUUCUGUUGUGCAACAAAUAUCUGGUUAUUAAAUGGGUAAAUGGUUCAAUAUAUUCUCCAUUAACAGUUAAGUAGUGUGCUCUAACCUGCUCUGGUGACAAACGUCGCUGCCCUGUUUCCAAUCGUCCACAUUGCUGCUGAGAGAACCUAUUCAAUUAAGUAAAUACACUUUGGGAAAAAGACUAUACCCGUGUUCGAAUAACAUACUGUAUACUACAUACUUAAUGAGUGUAUAUACUAUUAGUUAAUUUCAGGAAACUGUAAACGAACGGUAUCCUUCCAUUUUGGAAGUUGAUUCUGUUACAAUGCAAAUUAUUGUUACUAAAACAAACGACAAGACCUUAAGACGUCAUUAACAAUGUCCAUUAGGAACGGUCAACGACUGUACCGCCAAACUAAGAAUGACGUGAAUAAUCAAGUCAAUGGGUUGCGUAUGUAAAUUCUCUCUCAUCCGAUUUCAGAGUGUAACCGAUGUGAAAUGGCUGGUUAGUGGGGGUGCUAAUAGCGUUUCAAUCGGCGACGUCACUCGCUCUGAGACCUUUUGUCUCGACGCGAUGGGCAACGACGCUUCGAGGGUGACUGUUGAUGUGUGCAGAGGGUCCCCGGUUCGGGCGAGGGGACGGACGAAAGUUAUACUGUUACAAGAGCAUCGAGUCAUAGAUAAGGGCGAGUAAAUGAAGUAGCUAGCCAAUGUUAGCUUGGGUGAUUGACUGCUAUUGCGAGUCCAGUGUGCGCUCUGAACGCUUCGAGAGCAAAACGCAAUUUACGAACCACAGUUGGGUAGUUAGAUAGCAUAUAAAGUAUUGUAGCGACCCGCACAGACAGCUGUGUGUUAUGUGUUAGGCUAGGAGGUGGUUGUGUUGUACUGACCAGUACCCGGUGUUCGCGGGGUCCGACAUGUCAAUCAACCUGCUAUCUGCCAAUCACGGGAAUGCCUGGAAUGUUCUGAUGCCGGGCAUCCUGGUGAUUGGCGGAGUGGCGUGGAGGGGGGUUGGGCAGGGGGGUGGAGCAUUGGAAGUUAAGACCAGGUUCAGCUUUUUGUUCUCUCUCUCUUACGCCUGGGCUUCCCAAGAGAAGGUCACGAUUGGCUUGUGGGUUAUCUGUUAUCUUUUUGGCGUGUGCUACGGCCCAAACAGUAGCCUGUGUAAAGUUGGUUUAAUAAACCGUCAAUUCGCAAACUCAAGCCUCUGUCUGGACAAUUGUUCAUUUAUGAUCUAGUCAGGUCAUUACAGUAUUUAAUAUACUGGCAAGUUCGAUGUAUUAGUAGCCAACUAACGUAACUUAACUAGUUUAACAUACCGGCACAUAGUGCUGUAUUGAUAUGCUAUGCGGUUCGUAAGGAUAGCGUAACUAACAAAACGUCUGGCAACAUGUAACUUAUUUGAAAAUGAAUUACUUUAUUACAUUGCUCGACAUUUCCUUAACAUUUGCCAUAAUUAGUUAAAGCAAUGAAUUCGUAUCUUUCCUCGUCGGACUUCGCCCGCAUAUUUUCUGCCAUUUCGUUCAAAUCUGAAAACGUUGGAGCCUAUUUUCUGAAGAACUGCAUUAUGGGCCAUAAAAGCACGGAAGUGUCCACUGCUUGUAUACUUUGUAAAUAUUUUGUUGAAUGAAAUGCGGGAACUUUUGCUACAGAGCUGUGAAACCCUGUCUGCAGAUGAAGAGCAAUGGUUCCCAGUCCUGUUCCUGGGGUCUCAAAGGGAUCCCUUGCAACUGGAGAUUUCUUAAACGAUUGCCUACAGUUACUGUGUAGGGCACUGCACAGUUGGGUGACCAGGGCCAUCUGGUCUCGUGGGGGAUUUCAGGCAUCUGUGAAGACUACCUGUGUCCUGCAUAACUUCAUGAUGAUGAACAGGAGGGGACCUGCAGCGCUCCGCCAUGUGCCAGAGGAGAGGUCUGCUGCUCUGCAGGAUGUUGCCAGGAUGGGGGCCAACAACGCAGCACAGGAGGCAAUCAGUGUGCAGGAGACCUUCACCUCCUCCUUCUUCACAGUGGAUGCUGUUCCUUGGCAACACCAUAGACUACACUAUGCUCAACCAAAGCCAUCCACAUUGCAAUAAGAGUAUUCUUCCAUUUA